rnacentral:ncRNA from 1 species
CAACAAGCUGUAAAAUAUUGCAGCCUUCCGCCGUAAGGCAGAAUGGAAAAAUGGGAUGAAUUCAGGGAAGUCCCGACGUAACGUUGGGAUAAUCCUGAGCCAAUCUCGACGAAAGGAUUAAUGUAGUCGAGCCGGUGCAGAGACUAGAGAGUGAGGAUCCUAACCAAUAAGCUCUCAAAUAGCGUCCCACACCCAACUAGUUUGGGCGAUAAGAUAGUCCAUCCUCUUUGGUAACAGAGAG